UCUGCAGCUCUUCAAAGAUAUUCAGAGUUUUAGGUUCUCGGUGGAGCAGGAAAUUCCCAUCGGUAACCUGCAGCCAGCCACUGUUGUUGUCUACGAUUACUACGAGACAGAUGAUUUGGCCAUCACCAAGUAUGAUGCUCCCUUCAGCGCAAAAGAUGGAGCAAACAAAGAACAGCAUUAAAACAGGCCCAGAAGGAAAAAAGGUGCAGAACCCACCAACUAAAUGACUUGUCAGUGGAUUUGGAGAAAUUGGACAAGUGGAUUGUCGUUGUCUCUCUGUCAAUUUGCCAACGUGAUUCAUUUCUAGAAUAUUUAUAAUGGACAAAAUAUGCACAUUCCUAUUCUACAGAGGAUGAAGAUACACAGGAGGAGAUAUUAAUCUGACCCCCAUUCAUUUUAUAGCUAUAGAUCUAUUAAAUGUAUAUUUUAUCCAUGUACAUACAGUAUAUUAAACAUUGUAUUUGAAGGAACAGUC